UACGGAGGGUGCAAGCGUUAUCCGGAUUUACUGGGUUUAAAGGGUGUGUAGGCGGGCAAUUAAGUCAGCGGUGAAAUCUCCGGGCUCAACCCGGAAACUGCCAUUGAUACUAUUUGUCUUGAAUAUCGUUGAGGUAGGCGGAAUAUGUCAUGUAGCGGUGAAAUGCUUAGAUAUGACAUAGAACACCAAUUGCGAAGGCAGCUUACUACCCGAAUAUUGACACUGAGGCACGAAAGCGUGGGGAUCAAACAGG
rnacentral:rRNA from 1 species